CUUAGAUUACUUAAAACAACAUUAAUAACCAGGAUAAUUAAAACGAUAUGAGCUUUUAAUAAAUGAGCUUGAGGAAUAUUAAUAUUAAAUUUAUUAACUAAACUCAUCUUACUACUAGUCAGAUGAUUAUUGAAUAUUUCAUAUUUUCAAUAUCAGUAUUUUAUACUACUCAAAUAUGAAUAGAACCCAAGACAACAAAAUGCUUGAAACUAACAAGAGUACGUCCCAAUUAACACUUAUAUGUCGCAUAUGUACGCUUCAAUGUGAAAAUAUGAAGAAUCUUUUUGAAGAUGUAAACAAAGACAUAUUGAAAAUAUUAAUGUCUUUUACAAAUACAAA